rnacentral:rRNA from 1 species
AACGAACGCUGGCGGCAGGCCUAACACAUGCAAGUCGAGCGCUCUCUUCGGAGGGAGCGGCGGACGGGUGAGUAACGCGUGGGAACGUGCCCAAAGGUACGGAACAACAGUUGGAAACGACUGCUAAUGCCGUAUGUGCCCUACGGGGGAAAGAUUUAUCGCCUUUGGAUCGGCCCGCGUCGGAUUAGGUAGUUGGUGGGGUAACGGCCCACCAAGCCGACGAUCCGUAGCUGGUUUGAGAGGAUGAUCAGCCACACUGGGACUGAGACACGGCCCAGACUCCUACGGGAGGCAGCAGUGGGGAAUCUUGGACAAUGGGGGCAACCCUGAUCCAGCCAUGCCGCGUGAGCGAUGAAGGCCUUAGGGUUGUAAAGCUCUUUCACCCGCGAAGAUAAUGACGGUAGCGGGAGAAGAAGCCCCGGCUAACUCCGUG